GACUUGAUCAGUACCUUGUUUUGUCUCCACUCUGUGUGUCUGUGAGUGUUUGUCCCAUCUCUCACUCUCUCCCCCAGGAAACCUGUUUGACCAUCCUGUGAGUCAGGACAAUCAAAUGCUGGGGAUGUAACAGAGCUGGAUCAUCUCCAACAAGGUUCUUCAAGGGAAAUGCACCAAGGCCAGCUACAGUCACAGAGCAAGAGCACCCAGAAACAUUCCAUGCUCUGUCAAUGACAGAGCCCAGGCAACUGCUUCACAGAAGGAAGAUCACAUCAUCCCCUCUCCAAGGAAAUGCAGCUGAAAUACAAUGUCUGUUCCAUGCUCAUCCACAAGUACAUCAAAGUCCAGGUGGUUCAAGGACACUACAAAGGUCAGCACACUGGCAAGGUAGUCCAGGCUUGAAGAAAGAAAUAUGUCAUCUACAUUGAACAAGGUACAGCAUGAGAAGGCUAAUGGCACAACCUUCCACAUGGCCAUUCACCUGGAACUGGACAAAGAUCAAAAACAAAUUCUUGAAUGCAAAGCCAAGUCUUGACAAAUUCGAAAGAAUAAAGGCAAAUAUAAGAACUUGUUGAGAACAUGCAGGAAUGAAUAGAACCUGUUGUGCAAUCAUGAUGUAACUACAUAUUUUUAGCUUGGUGUGUACUUCUUUGGAAUUUUCUAAGAUGUCUCUGAAACAUUGUGUCUACCCCCCACCCCAUUUUGUUACUGACUGUAAGUCUGCUUUUACAAUUUUGACUAAUAAUUUUAUGAA